GGGGGAUCCCCCCACCACUGGUACUGAGACACGGACCAGACUCUACGGGAGGCAGCAGUGAGGAAUAUUGGACAAUGGAGGCAACUCUGAUCCAGCCAUGCCGCGUGUAGGAUGACUGCCCUAUGGGUUGUAAACUGCUUUUAUACAGGAAGAAACACCUCUACGUGUAGAGGCUUGACGGUACUGUAAGAAUAAGGAUCGGCUAACUCCGUGCCAGCAGCCGCGGUAAUACGGAGGAUCCAAGCGUUAUCCGGAAUCAUUGGGUUUAAAGGGUCCGUAGGUGGAUAAUUAAGUCAGAGGUGAAAUCUUGCAGCUCAACUGUAAAAUUGCCUUUGAUACUGGUUAUCUUGAGUUAUUAUGAAGUAGUUAGAAUAUGUAGUGUAGCGGUGAAAUGCAUAGAUAUUACAUAGAAUACCAAUUGCGAAGGCAGAUUACUAAUAAUCAACUGACACUGAUGGACGAAAGCGUGGGUAGCGAACAGGAUUAGAUACCCUGGUAGUCCACGCCGUAAACGAUGGUUACUAGCUGUUUGGACUUCGGUCUGAGUGGCUAAGCGAAAGUGAUAAGUAACCCACCUGGGGAGUACGUUCGCAAGAAUGAAACUCAAAGGAAUUGACGGGGGCCCGCACAAGCGGUGGAGCAUGUGGUUUAAUUCGAUGAUACGCGAGGAACCUUACCAGGGCUUAAAUGUAAGUUGCAUUAGUUAGAGAUAGCUAUUUCUUCGGACCACUUACAAGGUGCUGCAUGGUUGUCGUCAGCUCGUGCCGUGAGGUGUCAGGUUAAGUCCUAUAACGAGCGCAACCCCUGUUGUUAGUUGCCAGCGAGUCAUGUCGGGAACUCUAGCAAGACUGCCAGUGCAAACUGUGAGGAAGGUGGGGAUGACGUCAAAUCAUCACGGCCCUUACGUCCUGGGCUACACACGUGCUACAAUGGUAGGUACAGAGAGCAGCCACUGCGCGAGCAGGAGCGAAUCUAUAAAACCUAUCACAGUUCGGAUCGGAGUCUGCAACUCGACUCCGUGAAGCUGGAAUCGCU
rnacentral:rRNA from 1 species